AAUGAACGCUGGCGGCAUGCCUUACACAUGCAAGUCGAACGGCAGCAUGACCUAGCUUGCUAGGUUGAUGGCGAGUGGCGAACGGGUGAGUAAUGCAUCGGAACGUGCCUUUUAGUGGGGGAUAACGUAGCGAAAGUUACGCUAAUACCGCAUAUUCUCUGAGGAGGAAAGCAGGGGACCUUCGGGCCUUGCGCUAGAAGAGCGGCCGAUGUCGGAUUAGCUAAUUGGUGAGGUAAAGGCUCACCAAGGCAACGAUCCGUAGCGGGUCUGAGAGGAUGAUCCGCCACACUGGGACUGAGACACGGCCCAGACUCCUACGGGAGGCAGCAGUGGGGAAUUUUGGACAAUGGGCGCAAGCCUGAUCCAGCCAUGCCGCGUGAGUGAAGAAGGCCUUCGGGUUGUAAAGCUCUUUCGGCUGGGAAGAAAUCGCACCCUCUAAUACAGGGUGUGGAUGACGGUACCAGCAUAAGAAGCACCGGCUAACUACGUG
rnacentral:rRNA from 1 species